CUAGAGAAAAGCUGGAUUGAGGACUCACGCCUAUCGGUUGUCGAACACUGGAAAAGCGGCGGGUCUGUAGCUCAGUCGGUUAGAGCAUCGUCUUGAUAAGGCGAGGGUCGUUGGUUCGAUUCCAACCAGACCCACCAAGCAGGCGGAAAGCCAACGAAAAAGGGCGACCGAAGAAGUAGGCGCUGAAGCGCAAGGGCGGGGGAUUAGCUCAGAUGGGAGAGCACCUGCUUUGCAAGCAGGGGGUCGUCGGUUCGAUCCCGUCAUCCUCCACCAGACGCAUGAGUUGUGCGGCGGAAGGAGUUGUGCGUCGUCGAAGCAAUUUCCGGAAAGGUGUUCGCCCGUAAGAGAUCAGGUGUGCUGGUACGGAGCCGGCAGACCUGAGCCCUGACGGAGCUCGCGUUCUUUAACAAAAUGGAAGAAGGUUGUGUUGCUGGCUGCCCGAAAGGGGGGCAAGCGACACGGUUGUGAUUGCAUCGACCCCUCUUGGCGACAAGAGGGGCACACCCCUAUAACUGGUUCUCGGCAAGAGAGCUCAAGGUUAUAG
rnacentral:tRNA from 1 species